ensembl:lincRNA
GUUAGAAGUUCUUCCACCAGCUACAGGGGGAUUUGCUCCCCUGGGUCCCCUACUCGGAGUAUCAUGAUGCUCCCAGUCUGUUUCCAAAGUGCAGGCUGUCUUCAUUUUGCCUAAGGCUAGCCUUCUUUAUACCACCAUGCUACCUUUCAGAGGUUAUAAACAAAUGGGAAACUGGCUAAAAGGCCCCCAGGACUGAAACAUCUCCUCCACCUACUGGCCUGUCCCAGUUCUCUCUAGCACGUUCUGUGUAAG